rnacentral:lncRNA from 1 species
CGGUAUGGAGAAAGUAUCAAGUUUGGGGUUGUUGGGAAAUUUAAAAGAACUGUGAAAAUAAUAAAAAAAAAACAUUGACCUAAGUAUUGAGUAAAAGAAAAGCAAAAGAAGAGAAGGAAAAGAAAAAGAAAGAAAAGCUCAAUGAAUGGGAAAUUGGGAUUAAAUGAAAAUGGUUUCUCAAUUGUAAAAGAGAAAGAGAGUUUGUGUUUUAAUGAUGAAAUUAUGAAUUGUUACUCUCUUAACUCUAGGAUUUU